rfam:Firmicutes bacterium CAG:272 genomic scaffold, scf244
UACUGUGAUAGAGGCGCGGUUAUAAUCAGUAGUGCGUGAGACACCCACGGGAGGGUACGCACGAAAGGUAUCGCCGCCGAAGUGCCGUUCUCACCCGAAUGCGGGCGGUGCUGGGGUCGUACAGAAUAUGUGCGGGACUGUCAUCCGGAAUCGGAUGGAGGGCUGUCAUGGAU